UGGGUGCUUUCUUUCUCCACACACAUUAUUGAUUGGCGGUCUCUGGAGGAGGAACCAACAGCGUUCCAACAGCCCAGAGACACAAACAAAUAACUCGCCGGAGUAACACACUUUCCCCCCUCCGAGAUAAAGCAAGGACCGGCAACAAAAAUCUGCAGAUAAUUUUUGGCACAUUGCGUUAAAAAACAACAACCGUAUCGCGCUCGCGUCUUCGCGUUUGUAAAGCAGUGGGAAAGCGUGCAGUGCAAAAGUCCGCGUGUGCUGCGCUGCAGCGAGAGCCUGUGACCAUGAGCAGUGCCACAGCGCCCACUAUUUCAGCACACGGGAAUAUUAUUUCACAAGACUUGGAACGGCUCAAUAAAAGUUGCUAUUCCUUCGACAACUUUUUUUCCCCUCCUUUGACUUUCGGAAAUGAAUCUGCGCUUUUAUACAAACUCCCCGACCGAAACAGAAAACAACAAAUUACAAGCUCGUGCUCGCUUUUUGCAAUGGCAAUGCUUUUUUUUCUCCUGCAUCCAUAUAGUUUCUACUAAAAACAGCCUCGGUGUUUUACAUCACACGCGAAACUUGUUGGCGCUGGGAACCAGAGAAGCCCGGACUGCAGCACGCAGCGAAAAGAAGCGCAGGCACCGGGUCUGGGACUCAUUCUAGCGACACAGUUCCCGGGAAGAGUAAAAAGUUAUCUCACUGGACGAACAAUCUACCCCUUGAGGAUAUGACAAAUGAUAAGUAUAUGUUGGUGAUGUGCCCGGGAGUUGGAGCCGGCGGCUGAAAGCGUAAUAAGGGAAAAAGAAGACCUACUUUUGGCCAGUUUUCUCGCCCUCGCCUUGGAUCUCAUCUUGUCGGCUUGUAGAUUCCUCUCGUCGUCCUCCGUGAGCCCAGAAGCAGCAACAACACUAUCUUCAUCUCACGAGCAUUAUCACUUAUCUCUUUCCCUCCUCCUCCUCCUCCUCCUCCUCCUCCUCCUCCUCCUCCCUCCCUCUCUCUCCACACCAUCUCACCCUCCUCCCCCUCCCCUUACCCCCGUCCCCAAUUCAACCACCGCCAUUGCCACAGCCAGCACCUCCGUCUUGGAUUUUACCCCUUUAAGAGGGACACGACUUGGUGCAGCACCCUGCGGGGUCCGGUCCGGCCGGGGACACCACCAGGACAAGCACGGACCAGCAGCCGCUGACGGAGCAGCACAGAGCAGACCAGAGCCACCAAAGGACCCGGCCGGGCUGCUUCUCGCCUAUUAAAACAGUGGUAACAGCAACAGCAGCAGCCAUGUAUUUGAUCACCGCCAUCCAUUGACACGAUUGGUUGGUUUGACGUUGGAUUGAUAUAACAGGUAUACAUCCCUUUUUCAAGACGAAUAGAUGUUGCUUUUCUAAUGUAUUAACGACCACUGCAGUGCACCUGUUUGUGUGGGCACGCACGCUGUGAGUGCGUGAGAGCAGGCUGGUCAUAUGGAGCAGUGAGCCGUUGCAGUUAUGGAUAUGUCAAAUUAAGGCCUGCUUUCCUUCAACUGGUUUUAGUGGUACAAUUAUUUGUGUUAGCUUUUCUGAUUGUCUUAAAUAGGCCUACCACAUAUUCUCCUUUAAAUUGGUUUUCCUACGGAGAAGGCAAUUUGGGCUUUUUAUAAUGUUAUCUAAAUAUAAACAAUCGUUGCACGCAGUAUUUAUUUAUUAUGGUUACAAAAAAGUGUAGCCCAUAUUAUUUGAUAAAAAAUAUUACUUUAAAAAGAAAUGAAAUAACAACUGUAUUAUAAGGCAAUUCUUUUUUGCAUUAGUGUUAUUUGUAUUAGUAUUGAUAUGUUUGUUUUAUUAUUAAAUGUUUGAAUAAUA